CAGGGAUUGAUUUUUAACCCCCCACCAUGGCUGUAUCUAGCAGAAAGACAUUUGGGACUGCACCUGGAGCCUGAGCUGUACCAGCCUCUUAGCAUGGUCUCAGGGGGACCAAGCAACACUCCUAUCUGAUCCUUACAGAGGUCAUGCCAUGUCCAGUCAGCCACCAAUAGUCCCUUUGCCGUUGGAAGAGAGAAUCCUCCUGAUAUCCACUGGCCACAUUUCCUACCAUCUUGUCACUGCUGAAAAAAAACAAGCUCUCUUCUCCAGCUUCCCUGCUCCCAGGGGAGGCAGGACAGCAUAGCAAGGGUCAGGACUGCAGAGGGAUGUGCUUCUGCUGCUCUCCAGCUGUCCCCAUUGGAGUCACAGUCAGUCCUAGGACGUAACUUCCAAAGGGCUAACUUCCAAAGGCUUCCUAAGGUAUGAAACAGGAGACCUUUAAAGGACUGAUUUCCGACAACUUUCUUUGCUAGCAAAUUAUAAUAAUGACAAUUGAAAAAAUAUGAUAUUCUGUACCAUAUGGUUUCAGCUUCUCUAACAAUGAUAAAUGAUGCUCUGAGAUGUCUGGAGGUAGUAUGCUGUUACUCAGGCUUGCAGAUUUUCCUGUAUAUCUCCACUGCUGCUCCAUUUGUCAAAGCUGUUAAGUCUACUUGAACCUGUUCCAUCUAGGAAGCUCAUACAUCUUAACACACUGUGAUAAUUGUUUAAAACCUUCU
rnacentral:lncRNA from 1 species